ACACAGGAGUGAUGGUUGCUGAUAAUGGGCCUCUGUACGCCUAUGUAGAUAUUCCAGCUACAAUAGUCAUUUACAACAUUAACAUUGUCUACACUGUGUUUCUGAUCAAUUUGAUGUUAUUUUAAUGGACAAAAAAAAUAGCUUUUCUUUAAAAAACAAGGAUAUUUCUAAGUGACCCCAAACUUUUGAAAGGUAGUGUAUAUUUGGAGUAGUGCCUUUCCUCAGCCAUGGUGUGUUAUAUGUGCAAAAGUACUAUCUCACAAGUCGAUGAAACCUUCACUCAUGCGCAGACAUAUAGAAGCAAAACAUACCAAUUUGAAAAAUAAGCCACAGGAUUUUUUGUUGUUGCAAUAAUUAAGAUUGCUUUUGAGUAGUAAGACAUGUAUAAAAGCAACAUUAAUACCAUUAAUGAGAAGGGGCUAGAAGCGUCUUAUAUGGUGAGUUACCGAGUGGCAAGGACAGGCAAGCCCCAUACUAUUGUGGAGGACUUAAUUCUUCCUGCUGCCGUGGAUAUGGCUGGGACAAUUCUGGAGGAACUAUAGACAAUGCCCUCAUCAAACCACACUGCUUCACGAUACAUCAGUGACAUGGCAGGAGAUGUUUUGAAACAAUUACUGCUUCGCUUAAAAGCCAGUGAAUUCUAUGCGUUACAGCUGAAUGAGUCAACAGACAUGGCGGGCCUGGCACAGCUCCUGGUAUACGUCUGUUACAUUUAUGGGGGGUCAAUUAAGCAAACCACUUGAAACCAGGACAAUAGGAGAGAAUAUUUUGGACAGCUUUGUGACAUCAAAUGGACUUUGGUGGUCAAGAUGUGUCGGUAUCUGUACUGAUGGCACAAAAGCCAUGACAGGGAGACAUAGUGGAAUGGUAAUGCACGUGCAAGCAGUUGGGUACACUGUACAUCCACAAGAGGCUCUUGCUGCCAAGGGAAUGUCUGACAGCUUGAAAGACGUUUUGGACAAUACAAGUGAAAAUGGUUAACUGUGUUAUUAAAGCAAGGCCCCUGAACUCUCAUGUAUUUUCUGCACUAUGCAACUAUACGGGCAACGACCAUGUAAUGCUUUUACAACAUACAGAAUCGCGCUGGUUAUCACAGGGCAAAGUAUUGACAUGUUUUUUAGAAUUGAGAGACGAGCUUAAAGUUCUUACUGACCAUCAUUUUCACUUGUCUGGCAGCUUGCAUGAUGAUGAGUUUCUCACACGACUGGCCUAUCUGGGUGAUGUUUCUUCUCGCUCAAUGAUCUGAGUCUAGGAUUACAGGGAUUCUCUGCAACUAUAUUCAAUGUGCGGGACAAAAUUGAGGCUAUGAUUAGGAAGUUGGAGCUCUUCGCUCUCUGCAUCAACAAGGACAACACACACGUCUUUCCAUCAUUGUAUGAUUUUUUUGUGUGCAAAUGAACUCAAGCUUACAGACAAUGUCAAAUGUGAUAUAGCGAAGCACCUGAAUGAGUUGUUUGCGCAAUAGACAGGUACUUUCCCGAAACGGAUGACACAAACAACUGGUUUCGUUAUACCUUUCAUGCCCUGCCUCUAGUCCACUUACCGAUAUCGGAACAAAAGAGCCUCAUCGAAAUUGCAACAAGGGGUUCUGUGAAAAUUGUAAUUUAAUCAGAAGCCACUGCCAGAUUUCUGGAUUGGGCUGCGCUCAGAGUAUCCUGCCUUGGCAAAUCGCGCUGUUAAGACACUGAUGCCCUUUGCAACCAUGUACCUAUGUGAGAGUGGAUUCUCGGCCCUCACUAGCAUGAAAACUAAAUACAGGCACAGACUGGGUGUGGAAAACUGUUGUGGAAUUGUUAAAAAAUUUGAUUUGAUUUGAAAUAAUUUAAGACUGAGACUCUCCAAUACAACCCAACAUUGCAGAGUUACGUGCAUCCUUUCAAGCACACCCUUCUCAUUAACCUGUGAUGAGUUAUUCACAAUUUUUGAUGAACAAAUAAGGUUUUAUAUGUAAGAUGAUUCAAUAAAGAGCAAAAUGAUUGAUUAUUAUUAUUUGUGCCCGGGUCCUAUAAGAGCUCUUUGUCACUUCCCACGAGCCAGGUUGUGACAAAAACUCACACUCAUUGUUAUGUUUAAAUGUAUCAUAUAGUAUGUGUGGCAGGCUUACAAUUAUGGCAAAAAACAACAUUUGAGAGUGCGCUGACCUUGACGCUAGAGGGGGUAUGCAGCUGGAGGUUGAAUGUUUGAAGGGGUACAGGACUAUAAAAAGUUUGGGAACCACUGACCUACACCAUUGCUUUAUGCUGUAUGAAUAACAUGACAUCUCAAUCCUGGUUCCUGUUAAGUCACACGUCAGUUCAACAUCUAGUUUUGAUAUAUGUUUGGUUGAGUUGUCAACUAAUAUGAAUUCAACGUGAAACCUACGAAAAAUAUCACUGUCAUUGUGUUUAGGUUUGGUGAAAAUAAUACUACAUUUCCAUACAAUUGACAACUUUUUUCAAAUCCAAUCAGUUUUCCCCAUUGAUUCAACAUCAUCACAUUGAAUUUUUUUGUUGGAAUGACAUGGAAACAAUGUUGAUUGAACCAGUUUUUGCCCAGUGUGUGUGUUACGUGAGAAUGCAUUUACUUAUGUACACUCAUUCCCUUUAAUGAUUAUCAUCCACAUGUCCCCAUUUCAACUCAGCAAUGUUUUUGGAGGUGAGCAUUUUAUUCUGAUUUACAUCAGCAGGGACUCUAGUUCUAUCAGAUGACUGACUGCUUGAGAAAAGUGAGGGGGAACUCAUACGACCACAUCCCUGUCAGCACAACUCAGGUGGGCCCUGCGUAAGGAAACUUCCUGCUCCAGCUUCUGCAGCUCCUGCUCGUGUUGGGCUUCUGUCUGGGCCUUGGUCUUGUUCUGGUAGGCAUCCAGGAGCUCCAUCUCCUGCUGCAGCUGCUGCUUCAAUGCCUGGCACUCUCCUUGCUGCUCCUCCUCCAGACGCAUCUGGAGGACCAGAGAGACGAGAGCGAGAGGGGUUAAAAAUACAUAGCCUGUACUCUCUCUUCUGGUUGUCUAAGAAGGUGGUCAGCUCCUUCUUUUGCUGGGCAAUGAUCUGUUGCUGGAUCCUCUUCUCCUCUGCUGUAGCUGCCUUUAACUGUACGGGAACAUAUUAAAUGUUCCAGAAUUAAAGGUGUAUCACCUCCCUUCGAUGUUCUGUUUAAAAUUCUGACAUUAUGCUGAAAGGGCAAAAUUCUAAGGAUGCCAUCUAAUCAAGGAGUUUGAACAUAUUCAGUUUACACCUCAUUCAUACCAAUCAGGACCUACUGUCCUACCAGACAGUACAUCAUUCACCUCUUUGUCUGUGUGAACAGCGUGCCGUUUGGCCAGUCUCUCCAGUUCUAUGUAAGUGUUGUUUGCGUGGGUCUCCACUUCUUUCUGCAACCGGAGCCUAAGCUCAUCCAUCUCCGCCUUCAGCCUGUUCUCCAGGGCGAUCAGCUGCUUCUGGUGCUGCCGCCGCAUGCGCUUAUAACCAGACAUCUGCUCCCGCAGCUCAGAGUCCUGCUCAUGCUCCUGGAUCUACCUGGUGACCUGGACACAGGGGUCAGGGGUCGGAGGCCACAGAGAGAACGGUCAGGGGUGAAAAGCAAGAAGGCCUGUGAAGGAAGACGACUGUCAAAUUAAAAUGUACUGUAUCGUUCAACAUGGACGAGUAUCCUAGUCAUACUCAGUAAUAGACCUUAAAAUACAGUAGAACAAUGUUCUUUGUGAAUCUGAAACAUAACUUCACAUAUUUUAGUCUUUGCAAGAAUACCUUAAAUGGAAUAGAGUCCUCACACGGACUAUAUACAGUACACCUAAAGCUAACUAGUAUUUAUUUGGUUCUAUGUAUUUGCUCUUACUCUAGAGAGCAUUCUCUGAAUUUCACCCUUGAUGUAGUAUAACUAAAUUAAUUCCAGAUUAUACCAAAUAUAAUCUGCGUUCUUGUCCAACACAUGUAAACUUCAAUCAAUUAUAACUAAAGAUGGCCUCUAUGACCACCUAUCACAAAUCCUGUCAUAAAUUUGACACAUAAAACACACAUGCAAAGGCACAUGCACACACAAUCGCACACCAUUGUUAAUUGGUGGGCAUUCCUGGGGAUUAUUAGCUACAGUAUCUGUGGAUAGCAUUUUCCAGGGCAGGAAAUAAUGCACACGGUUCCUCUUCACUGAUUGAUCAUUGCUGCUUGGCUCAGAUUUCAUGCUAGUAACAUAGCACAUGCAUCAUCAAUUAUGGUUGCUACAUACAUGAACAUAAAGAGGGUGCCUUGAACGUUAAUGUGGUGUUCCUCAUGCUAAUAUAUCUGUCACGUACAUACUGUAUAUGUAGCCACAAAUGGAGCGGUAUGAGCCUGGUUUGCAGGCCUACUAUUGAAUGGUUAAGGUACAGCUUGUAAAUAAAUAACAAAAACACUUGAAAUCAUGAUAAACCGAUAGCGAAAGAGAUUUGAUAGAUAUCCAAAAGAUUACACACAUAUAAAAGCACAGGCAUAGGGGGAAAACGGAGGAUUGAAAAAAUGACACUUAUUAACGGGAUCCGGUUGCCAUGACUACAGAUGUGCAGCUGAAAGGACGGAGAUCGAGAACCCCCCCCCUCCCUUGUUUCUUAUGCAAACAGCUGGGAGAGGGAGCCUGCCUACCAAAGAUGCUGAUGAUUUGAUGGUGGCAAAGCAUUCACAGAUCUUGCAGUCGAGAGCCCGGCUCUUGUGAGAAGAAGUAGGCCGCAGCUCUGGCCUGGCGUCCCUGUGCACAGCCUCAUCCCUCACGCAAGCAUGGUCCUGCAGGGGGGGAGGAAAAGGAGGAGAGAGAGGGGGUGGGCGCUUCCCAGGCCCUCUGUGCUCGCUGUUGCUGCUGCUAUCGCUGCCGUGUCUCCCAGCAUCCAGCACACAUCCUGCUUUAAAUGCAUCCUUCCCCUGCGUGGUCCCUCGCUACUGCAUGCAGCUCCACGCUAGAAAUGAACAGGGCAUCGCAGAGUGAUAGCGGGCCCCGCCAGGAAGGCAGCAGCUGAAGGCAGUCCUCGUCUCUGGCGUCUCCACUUCCUGAGGAGGAGGAACCAAAUGGAUCCGGUGGGAAAGGGUGAAAUAUACAACGCCUAUAACAUACAAUCAGGGCAAAAAGAUGAGGAGGGAAAUUAUAAAGAGAGAUUGUUGCAUUCCUCCCGAACUCAAAAUCAAAUAAAAAGAUUAUGGGCCGUAUUCCUUUUCUUGUAUUCCCAUGAUGACAUGAAAUGUUAGGUGAUCUGUGAAACAAUGUAAAUCAAACACAGAUCCAUCCAAGGCAUAUUUCCCCUAUGACGAUACUAAUCAGCUAGAUAUUUAUUAUAUAUUCCAAUUCAUUUUCAGUCAAAAUACAUUGUGCUCUUUCUUAGAUGGUUGUUUCUAGUGCCUUCUAUUGAUCUCUCCAGCUCUUUCACGAGCCAUCUUUCACACUCCCACUUUUUUUUAAAGAGACACUGCAAUGUUUCACAUACUUGAUGGAAGCUGUACAACGAUUCUUUAAAUUCAUUAUAUGGUGUGGCUUCCUUAAUUUAAUAGAAUGUUGUUGAUUCUUGGUACAGAUUUGUAAACAUUUCUGAAUAAACAACAAGGUCAUUAUAAAAGUCAUACAAUAGUAGUAUUGUAAAAACUACUUCAAACGAAUACUAGUUCAAAGGGCUGUCUAUAGGUAACCUGCUGUACAGAACUUGAUUACCCUUUACAAUAACUUUCAUGAAUAAGCCAUUACAAAUGUUUAUGUGUUUUGUAAAUUACUAUGAAUGCCAUAAAUGCUUCUGAAUUGUAAUUAUGUUUAUACAUGCUUAAAAUGUUUACAAAUAAUGGCAUUGUAAUUCAUUAAUAGGUACGCUGUUUGUAAAUAUGUAUAUUAUUUGUUAAAGCUGCAAUAUGUAACCUUUUGGGCAACCUGACCAAAUUCACAUAGACAUUUGAGUUAUAUAGUGCAUUCGGAAAGUAUUCAGAUUCCUUGACUUUUUCCACAUUGUGUUACGUUAGCCUUAUUCUCAUCAUUCUACACACAAUGCCCUAUAAUGACAAACUAAAAACAGGUUUUUAGAAAUUGUAGCAAAUGUAUUAAAUGUAAAAAGCAAAUACCACAUUUACAGAAGUAUUCAGACCCUUUAGUCAGUACCUUGUUGAAGCACCCUUGGCAGCGAUUACAGCCUCAAGUCUUCUUGGGUAUGAGAGGGAGAUUCUCCCAUUCUACUCUGCAGAUCCUCUCAACCUUUGUCAGGUUGGAUGGGGAGCGUCACUGCAGUUAUUUUCAGGUCUCUCCAGAGAUGUUAGAUUGGGUUCAAGUCCAGGCUCUAUCUGGGCAACUCAAUGACAUUCAGAGACUUGUCCUGAAGCCACUCCUGUGUUGUCUUGGUUAUGUGCUUAGAGUUGUUGUCCUGUUGGAAGGUGAACCUUCGCCCCAGUCUGAGAUCCUGAGCGCUCUGGAGCAGGUUAUCAUCAAGGAAAUCUCUGUGCUUUGCUCCGUUCAUCUUCCCCUCGAUCCUGACUAGUCUCCCAGUCCCUGCCGCUGAAAAACAUCCCCACAGCAUGAUGCUGUCACCACCAUGCUUCACCGUAGGGAUGGUGCCAGGUUUCUUCCAGAUGUGACGCUUCACAUUCAAACCAAAUAAUUCAAUCUCGGCUUCAUCAGACCAGAGAAUCUUGUUUCUCGUGGUCUGCAAGUCCUUUGGGUGUUUUUUGGCAAACUCCAAACGGGCUGUCAUGUGCCUUUUACUGAGGAGUGGCUUCCGUCUGGCCGCUCUAGCAUAAAGGACUGAUUUGUGGAGUGCUGGAGAGAUGGUUGUCCUUCUGGAAGGUUCUCCCAUCUCCAUAGAGGAACUCUGGAGCUCUGUCAGAGUGACCAUCGGGUUCUUGGUCACCUCGCUGACUAAGGCCCUUCUCCCCCGAUUGUUAAGUUUGGCCGGGCGGCCAGCUCAAGGAAGAGUCUUGGUGGUUCCAAACUUCUUCCAUUUAAGAAUGAUGGAGGCCAAUGUGUUCUUGGGGAUCUUCAAUGCUGCAGACAUUUUUUGGUACCCUUCCCCAGAUCUGUGACUCGACACAAUCCUGUCUCUGAGCUCUACGGACGAUUCCUUCGACCUCAUGGCUUGGUUUUGUGCUCUGACAUGCAUUAUCAAUUGUGGGACCUCAUAUAGACAUGUGUGUGUCUUUCCAAAUCAAUGUCCAAUCAAUUUCAUUUACCACAGAGGGACUCCAAUCAAGUUGUAGAAACAUCUCAAGGAGGAUCAAUGGAAAUAGGAUGCACCUGAGCUCAAUUUCGAGUCGGAAUACUUAUAAGGUACAGUGGCAAGAAAAAGUAUGUGAACCCUUUGUAAAUACCUGGAUUUUGCCAUAAAUCGGUCAUAAAAUGUGUUCUGAUCUUUAUCUAGGUCACAACAAUAGACCAACAGUCUGCUUAAAAUAAUAACACACAAACGUGUAUUUUCUUCUGUUGAAGCCAUUCUGUUGUUGAUUUACUUCUGUGUUUUGGGUCGUUGUUCUGUUGCAUCACCCAACUUCUGUUACACUUCAAUUGGUGGACAGCCUAACAUUCUCUUGCAAAAUGUCUUGAUAAACUUGGGAAUUCAUUUUUCUGUCGAUGAUAGCAAGCUGUCCAGGCCCUAAGGCAGCAAAGCAGCCCCAAACUAUGAUGCUCCAUACUUUACAGUUGGGAUGAGUUUUUGAUGUUGGUGUGCUGUGCCUUUUUUUCUCCUCACAUAGUGUUAUGUGUUCCUUCCAAACGACUCAUCUUUAGUUUCAUAUGUCCACAGAAUAUUUAGCCAGUAACGCUGUGGAACAUCCAGGUGCUCUUUUGCGAACAUCAGAUGUGCAGCAAUGGUUUUUUUGGACAGCAGUGGCUUCCUCUGUGGUGUCCUUCCAUGAACAACAUUCGUGUUUAGUGUUUUACGUAUUGUAGACUCGUCAACAGAGAUGUUGGCAUGUUCUAGAGAUUUCUGUCUUUAGCUGACACGCCAGGAUUCUUCUUAACCUCAUUGAGCAUUCCCUAGGAGUGACAUUUUGAGCCUGUAAUCAAACCCACAAAUGCUGAUGCUCCAGAUACUCACCUAGUCUAAAGAAGGCCAGUUUCAUUGCUUCUUUAAAUCAGGACAACAGUUUUCAGCUGUUCUAACAUACUGUAAUUGCAACAGGGUUUUCUAAUGAUCAAUUAGCCUUUUUUAAAUUAUUAACUUGGAUUAGCUAACACAACGUGCCAUUGGAACACAGGAGGGAUGGUUGCUGAUAUUGGGCCUCUGUAUGCCUAUGUAGAUAUUCCAUAAAGAAAUCAGCUGUUUCCAGCUACAAUAGUCAUUUACAACAUUAGCAAUGUCUACACUGUAUUUCUGAUCAAUUUUAUGUUAUUUUAAUGGACAACAAAUGUGCUUUCCUUUCAAAAACAAGUGACCCCAAACUUUUGAAUGGUAGUGUGUAUAUAUGUAUGUGUGUGUAUGUAUAUAUAUAUAAAAAUCAUGUUAUUUUGGCAUUAAUACAUAUCAGUUUGCAAACAAAGUUACAUUUCUUUUUUAUUGCAGGUGUUCAACAUGGGCUUUGCUUCACAGAAAGCAGCAGUUGAUUUACUCCAUUGCCAACACUUUAAAUCACAUCAGUAGACCAAUAUCCUUGACAUUACCUUUUAUAACCUUCAAUCUGUUUGUUUUUUAUCAUAUUCUGGACCAGAAUAAGGCUCUACUACUUAUUGUUCCUGCAGUGGUUGGAGCGAUCUGGUCGCAUCCGCGCUUCGGUCUGCAGGUUGUAUAACUUUUUCAUUACAUUUCAUUACAUUUCAUUAUAGUACAACGGUCUGAUUUGUCUAAUCUUAGCAAUUUCCUCUUAGCUAGCUACAUAGUCGUCGUUGUAUCAAAGAUAAUUGCGUAAUUAUCGUAUUUCGUCGUCUCCUAUCUGUCGUCUCCUAUCUGUCCAACACGUUCACCGUCUACCGUAGCACUGUAGUACUAUCACACUCAACUGAACGUCUUGAUUAGUGUAGUGUUAGCUAGCUACAUAGCUAGCUACAUAGUUGUCUUUGCUGUCUUCGUAUCCAAGAUAAUUGUGUAGCUUAGAGUGUGGAGUCUUAGAGUGAUAAUUGCGUUAUUAUCGUAUUUCGUCGCCCUCCUAUCUGCCUAGCAGCUAG